rnacentral:rRNA from 1 species
GAGUUUGAUCAUGGCUCAGAACGAACGCUGGCGGCAGGCCUAACACAUGCAAGUCGUACGAGAAGGUUCUUUCGGGAACUGGAGAGUGGCGCACGGGUGAGUAACGCGUGGGGACCUACCUCUUAGUGGGGGAUAACGGUUGGAAACGACCGCUAAUACCGCAUACGCCCUUCGGGGGAAAGAUUUAUCGCUAAGAGAUGGACCCGCGUUGGAUUAGAUAGUUGGUGAGGUAACGGCUCACCAAGUCAGCGAUCCAUAGCUGGUUUGAGAGGAUGAUCAGCCACACUGGGACUGAGACACGGCCCAGACUCCUACGGGAGGCAGCAGUGGGGAAUAUUGGACAAUGGGCGCAAGCCUGAUCCAGCCAUGCCGCGUGAGUGAAGAAGGCCUUCGGGUUGUAAAGCUCUUUCAGAUGCGAAGAUGAUGACGGUAACAUCAGAAGAAGCCCCGGCUAAUUUCGUGCCAGCAGCCGCGGUAAUACGAAAGGGGCAAGCGUUGUUCGGAUUUACUGGGCGUAAAGGGCACGCAGGCGGUCUUGCCAGUCAGGGGUGAAAGCCCGGGGCUCAACCCCGGAACUGCCUCUGAUACUGCAGGACUAGAGACUAGGAGAGGGUGGUGGAAUUCCCAGUGUAGAGGUGAAAUUCGUAGAUAUUGGGAGGAACACCAGAGGCGAAGGCGGCCACCUGGACUAGAUCUGACGCUCAGGUGCGAAAGCGUGGGGAGCAAACAGGAUUAGAUACCCUGGUAGUCCACGCCGUAAACGAUGAGUGCUAGUUGUCGGGAUUUCGAUUUCGUGACGCAGCUAACGCAUUAAGCACUCCGCCUGGGGGAGUACGGUCGCAGAUUAAACUCAAGGAAUUGACGGGGGCCCGCACAGCGGUGGAGCAUGGUGGUUUAUUCGAAGCACGCGCAGACUACACCCUGACAUCCUAUCGCGAUUUCAGAGAUGAUAUCAUCAGUCGCUGAUAGUGACAGUGCUGCAUGUCUGUCGUCAGCUCUUCCUGAAUGUAGCUUAAGUCCGCAACGAGCGCACUCCUGUCUAGUGCAGCAUCAGUGUACCUAGAACUGCGGUACAGCCGAGAGCGAUGACUCAGUCCUAUGCUACGUGCUACAUCGUGCUACAAUUG